rnacentral:misc_RNA from 1 species
AAGUCGUAACAAGGUUUCCGUAGGUGAACCUGCGGAAGGAUCAUUAAUGAGUAAGGGUCUCACGGCCCGACCUCCAACCCUUUGUUGUUAAAACACCCUUGUUGCUUUGGCGUGGACCGCCGCUGUAAAAAGCGGCUGCCGGUCUUAGGCCCGGCAUGCGCCCGCCAGAGGUAAUACAAACUCUUGUCUUUAACCAGUCGUCUGAGUUAUAAUUUAAAUAAAUUAAAACUUUCAACAACGGAUCUCUUGGUUCUG